AGUUGCGAACGGGUGAGUAACGCGUAGGUAACCUGCCUGGUAGCGGGGGAUAACUAUUGGAAACGAUAGCUAAUACCGCAUAACAACAGUUGUUGCAUGACAGCUGUUUAAAAGGUGCAAAUGCACCACUACCAGAUGGACCUGCGUUGUAUUAGCUAGUUGGUGAGGUAACGGCUCACCAAGGCGACGAUACAUAGCCGACCUGAGAGGGUGAUCGGCCACACUGGGACUGAGACACGGCCCAGACUCCUACGGGAGGCAGCAGUAGGGAAUCUUCGGCAAUGGACGGAAGUCUGACCGAGCAACGCCGCGUGAGUGAAGAAGGUUUUCGGAUCGUAAAGCUCUGUUGUAAGAGAAGAACGAGUGUGAGAGUGGAAAGUUCACACUGUGACGGUAUCUUACCAGAAAGGGACGGCUAACUACGUGCCAGCAGCCGCGGUAAUACGUAGGUCCCGAGCGUUAUCCGGAUUUAUUGGGCGUAAAGCGAGCGCAGGCGGUUAGAUAAGUCUGAAGUUAAAGGCUGUGGCUUAACCAUAGUACGCUUUGGAAACUGUUUAACUUGAGUGCAGAAGGGGAGAGUGGAAUUCCAUGUGUAGCGGUGAAAUGCGUAGAUAUAUGGAGGAACACCGGUGGCGAAAGCGGCUCUCUGGUCAGUAACUGACGCUGAGGCUCGAAAGCGUGGGGAGCAAACAGGAUUAGA
rnacentral:rRNA from 1 species